rnacentral:rRNA from 1 species
UACGGAGGGUGCAAGCGUUGUCCGGAUUUACUGGGCGUAAAGGGCGCGUAGGCGGUCAGCACAAGUCAGUUGUGAAAUCUCCGGGCUUAACUCGGAAAGGUCAACUGAUACUGUGCGACUAGAGUGCGGAAGGGGCAACUGGAAUUCUCGGUGUAGCGGUGAAAUGCGUAGAUAUCGAGAGGAACACCUGCGGCGAAGGCGGGUUGCUGGGCCGACACGUGACGCUGAGGAGCGAAAGCGUGGGGAGCGAACAGG